rnacentral:tRNA from 1 species
GGACUCGUGGUGGAAUGGUUAACACGUCUGCCUUACACGCAGAAGACUGGGCGUUCGAUUCGCCCCGGGUCCA